GGGGGGCCGCGCGGCGGCGCUGCUGGGCGCCGGCUGGUGGGUGUCCAAGCAACCGCGGAGUGCCCUGGCCCUGGGCGCCGCGCCCAACAUGUGGCAGUGGACGCAGAUCGCCUUCGCCAUCGGCCUGGCCUCCUGGGGCUUGGUCACCGUUGCAAACCCACAGGGAAGCAGAUGAAGUAGUACCCGUGAGACCGACCCCGGAGACGCGCCGAGACGAGGCGCUGCUGCCCCUCCACGUCCCUCCCUCCAGCCCCCUCGCAGCUCGCCCGGCCAGGGGGGCAGGGGCCUGGGGCCGGGCUACGUACCCGGCAGGAUCGGGGCGGGUUCAGGGAGACGCUUAUGGGGGAAAUAAAGCUGGGAUAGACCUUG